rnacentral:rRNA from 1 species
GAUGAACGCUGGCGGCGUGCCUAAUACAUGCAAGUCGAGCGAACAGACGAGGAGCUUGCUCCUCUGACGUUAGCGGCGGACGGGUGAGUAACACGUGGAUAACCUACCUAUAAGACUGGGAUAACUUCGGGAAACCGGAGCUAAUACCGGAUAAUAUAUUGAACCGCAUGGUUCAAUAGUGAAAGACGGUUUUGCUGUCACUUAUAGAUGGAUCCGCGCCGCAUUAGCUAGUUGGUAAGGUAACGGCUUACCAAGGCAACGAUGCGUAGCCGACCUGAGAGGGUGAUCGGCCACACUGGAACUGAGACACGGUCCAGACUCCUACGGGAGGCAGCAGUAGGGAAUCUUCCGCAAUGGGCGAAAGCCUGACGGAGCAACGCCGCGUGAGUGAUGAAGGUCUUCGGAUCGUAAAGCUCUGUUAUUAGGGAAGAACGAAUGUGUAAGUAACUAUGCACGUCUUGACGGUACCUAAUCAGAAAGCCACGGCUAACUACGUG